GACGAACGCUGGCGGCGUGCCUAAUACAUGCAAGUAGAACGCUGAAGAGAGGAGCUUACUCUUCUUGGAUGAGUUGCGAACGGGUGAGUAACGCGUAGGUAACCUGCCUUGUAGCGGGGGAUAACUAUUGGAAACGAUAGCUAAUACCGCAUAACAAUGGAUGACACAUGUCAUUUAUUUGAAAGGGGCAAUUGCUCCACUACAAGAUGGACCUGCGUUGUAUUAGCUAGUAGGUGAGGUAAUGGCUCACCUAGGCGACGAUACAUAGCCGACCUGAGAGGGUGAUCGGCCACACUGGGACUGAGACACGGCCCAGACUCCUACGGGAGGCAGCAGUAGGGAAUCUUCGGCAAUGGGGGCAACCCUGACCGAGCAACGCCGCGUGAGUGAAGAAGGUUUUCGGAUCGUAAAGCUCUGUUGUAAGUCAAGAACGGGUGUGAGAGUGGAAAGUUCACACUGUGGCGGUAGCUUACCAGAAAGGGACGGCUAACUACGUG
rnacentral:rRNA from 1 species